rnacentral:rRNA from 1 species
UACAGAGGGUGCAAGCGUUGUUCGGAAUCACUGGGCGUAAAGCGCGCGCAGGCGGAUGGUUGCGUCCGGAGUGAAAUUUCGCCGCUCAACGGCGAAGCUGCUUUGGAUACGGACCGUCUAGGGACCGGUAGAGGCUGGUAGAAUUGCAGGUGUAGCGGUGGAAUGCGUAGAGAUCUGCAAGAAUACCCGUGGCGAAGGCGGCCAGCUGGGCCGGAUCCGACGCUGAGGCGCGAAAGCCAGGGGAGCAAACGGG